rnacentral:rRNA from 1 species
UGAGUAACCUGCCCUUAACUCUGGGAUAAGCCUGGGAAACUGGGUCUAAUACCGGAUAUGACUCCUCAUCGCAUGGUGGGGGGUGGAAAGCUUUUUGUGGUUUUGGAUGGACUCGUGGCCUAUCAGCUUGUUGGUGAGGUAAUGGCUUACCAAGGCGACGACGGGUAGCCGGCCUGAGAGGGUGACCGGCCACACUGGGACUGAGACACGGCCCAGACUCCUACGGGAGCAG